GUUCAAAUGGAAUAAUCCAUUAGACUGAAUUUAUUAUUUUUCUUUUUCUUUUCCCGUUUUUUGAAUGGCUUCUAGCAGUGAAGCAUAAAAUAUGAAUUAUGGAAUAGGGUUUGGGAGCUAGAUCUAGGUCCUGGUUGAAGUCUAUUAUAAGCUUUUAUAGAGCUCUAAUGGAAGCCUUAUCUCUUGUGAUAUGCUUUCUCUUACAGUAAAUGGAGCUUUCCCCUUUCGGCAUCUUCAAAGCAGAUUGUAAUGCUUUCUUAAUCUCAUUUUCUUCUAAUCUACUUUGCAGUGGUUUUCCUUUCCUCUCCGCCGCUGCGAUUAUGGCUUCUGUUAGAUUCCCGAGCCAAAACCAUUUGUUCGGAUCAAGAUGACAGCCGCUGCACCAGAGUUAGCACUCCAGCAUCCAAAGCUGGCUCGACGCAGUAGCUCCUUCUCCGCAACCAUGCAGCUCCUCCAAACCAAAGACUUCGUGCCUGAUCGAACUUUACAAAGCCUCAUCUAAAAGAUUAAUGUUUCGGUAGUGUUGCCUUGCAUUUGUUUUAUUUUGGCUUGAGAUUUCUUAUUGCUGUGUAUAUUUUGACAACUUGAUGCAGCACAUUUUUGAAUUCAAUUCAAUUCUUCUAUUGAUUCUAAUUUCAUUCAUCGAAGUAAUAGGCAUUGGUUAGUGAUGGUUUUGGAUUGACUUUUGACAAGAUCCAAACGUCUUUAGCGUCACAAGUGAAAAUUCUAAUUUUAUAAUUUUAUUAUUAUUAUUUUUAAUUAUUUUCAUUUUCUAAAUCUAAACAAUCCCUUUUUUUUAUUAUCUUUUUCUUUAUUUUCAUUCUUUUUAUGUCAAACUGAAAAAAUCCGGAAAAACAAACCCACCUCAAGAAAGGUCUCCUUACUCAGGUAUAGAUAUAGGCUCUCCAGACCCUGAUAUUUAGAGUAUAGACAGUGGUGUUGGAAGUACUAAACCUGAGCACAGACUUUGUGUACAAUAAACUCUUUCCAGUGUUAAACCUUGCAAAAUUGCAUUACUGAUGCACUGUCCUGUAAUUAUUUAAGAAAAAUAAAAUCACACGGUCUCCUUGACAUGCUACAAACGUAAUAAUUAGUUUGUAGCCUUUCUAAUUGCACAACUGAGAAUUGUUUAAGAAUGUAUGUUAAAUCUCAGUUGCUGGGAAAAGAAGCAUUUUAUGAUAUUAUUAAUUUAUUCAACCAUCUGUUUUUUCCAUGAAGGCAUUGUUGAGAUGUUAUCCCCUUAGUCUCCAAAGGGUCAUGGAAUGAUGCUGAGGAAAAAGUAAGGGGUAAUGAAGGAGCCAUGUUCGCAUGUAACCUAAAGGUGGAAAAAAGCUUGAUCAAGAUGGGGCCAUGGGUGGUAGUACCUAAUGCCAAAUCACCUCAAUACGAGAAUCAUAUUGUCAUUGUAACUUAAUUCAAGCUCAGCCUUUACGUUGGCGCUCUCUCAUUGCCACAAACUACAAACACAAACAUAAAAAACAGGGCCCCUUUGGUGGGGUGAGGAUAAAUAGUUACGAACUCAUACCCUAGGGAAAGGCAUUUAACUUUUCAAUGUCCAUCAUAGAAAUCAUCAUUUCGUGCCACCUUUGAUUCCUUUUGGGCACAUAAAAAAUGUAUACAAACCCUUUUCCUUAUACCUUUACUGUCUUCUUUACCUUCCACACUUUCAUAUAAUCCACCAUCCCAGUCAAACCUUUCAUUCAUUCCAUUACAUUCAAUCAAAAUUUUAUCUUUACAUUAAUUUUCCUCAUCUGCCUUUCAUGCAAGUAAAAUCCCUCUUCAGUUCUAUAUCAGAAUUUAUACUUCACAAAUCUCAUUUAUUGCUGCAUACUAUUUUUUCACUCUACUUCUAAACCCCACAGGCCUAUAUAGAGAAAAUUCCUAUUUAUGCUCUAUUUUAAAUUAUGGUCGCAAUUGCGGCUACGUUUCAAUUAGUAAAAUCGAGACAAAAAAGAGAGUAUAAAAAGCAGUACAUAAAAGUUGAUGCAGUACAUCUGUAAUUAAAAACCUGAAAAACCAGAAUAGAUUAUUAGUCAAAGUAUGCUGUUGAAUUGAAUUUGUAGGCAAAAGGUUUCCGUAGUUGAUGCGUCACGAUUUCUUUCUUUCUUUCCCUAGACUUGCAUAACCAUCACACAAAUCGUGUCAAUACACAAAAUUUUAUGCAUCCGUUUUGGAAUAUACUGCAUACAGUAUGUAUACAGAGAAAAAUCUUUGUCUACGCUGUUAGGUUGGGCUACCACGUGAUUGAUUGAUGGAAACAAUGUGUUAGGCAUCUGAAAUGGAAUAUGGUUAAAAACACAUAAAUUCUACCCCACCCUCUUGUUUUUUUUGUAUGAUGCCGACAUGUUUGAUAUGUUGCUGUGUGGCAGCCCCAUCAAAAACAUUGGGAUGUGUAAUAUUCCUUAUGGGCUCAGGUUGUAUUCUAUCCCAAAGUGCUUGUCCUUCCCCUGCCAUGUGAAAGGAAUGGCUGAAGCACCCUUCCAAAUCAAGAGAGCUAAAGGGAAAUUGGGUUUUCAGCGUCAAAUUUGCUGUCAUCUCACUUGCUAGGAAAGUUCCCACACUCUCACUUGGUGGUGUGCUCUGUGCAUUAGAUAAUUGAACAUUUGCAUUUCAAAUUACACAAGGAAAAGAGAGAAAGAAAGGUCUAGUACUAAGCAAGAGAAGGGUGAUUCAUUCUUCUACUUGAUGUGAUUCAAUUGGAGUGAGUGUGUGACUUUAAUGCUUUUCAGUUCUAUGUAUUGGAUGGACAGAUGGGGCUUUAGCAGCCUAGGACACAUGUAGUGCCAAAUUGAGCUUACUCAUGACAUUUAUCUUACUUGCUUUGCAUAAAAGAAGAAAUCAAAUCAACAAGAGGGACCACGACCAAGUAUGCUAGCAACUGCACAAACUACAAGCUACAUUGAUUUCUCACAGGUAAAAGAACAAUAUACCCAGAUUGUACUUCUGGAAGCCAUGGUCUCCGAAUAGCUAGCAGAUUUGAAGAACCCCCAUUGAGCGAGGUUCUUUGAAGCCAUGGCAUGAUAUUUGUUGUUGCAUCUUGGUAGGCAAAAAAUGUAACAGCUCAGGAGGGAUAGAGAAGGAAGGAGAAGAUGAAUUGGGUGGCAACGGGGAAAGAAGGAAAUCAAACUCUAUAUCAGUGGUUUGUGAUAUAGGGUUUUCCAUAUAAGCAAAAACAAAGAAAAUAGAUAGGGUGUGAGGUCUUACAAGGUCAAGAAAAGGCCUUACAAGGUCAAGAAGAGUCCUAAAAAAACAAAAAAGUGUGAUGGAAAAUAGAUGAUGAAGGAAGAUGAAAGAAGGUAGUAAAAGCUCAGAUAGGAUAGCACCAGAUUAGAAUGAAGCUCCUGCUGCUGCUGCCACCAAUUCAGGAGAAUUGUCAGCUCCAAUUUCAGAGCCACUAAUGGCUUCUUUUUGGUCACAUCUCCCAAUUCUCGGAGGGUUGACCAUGGCUACCUUGCUGUUAGUCACGUGCAUGAUGAGAAAACCCUUAUAGGGACCUGCAUCAUGUAUCAUGCUCCUAUUUAGUGCAGAGAAUAAUGAAGAAGAAUGGCAGGGCCAGAAGCAGGAGCCAGCUUUAGAUUAGAUAAAAAGUAGCUAAGAGAGAAAAAAGUAAGUAUGAAACAAUUAAAAGAAUACAAGAGAAUAUCUUCCAUUUACAAUAAAGUAAAAUAGUUCAGUCAGUCACAGAAUAAUUAUCUUAUAUAAGCUGAGCUAGUACAAAAAAUACACCUUUAACAUGAAUUACACAUAUUAAAAAGGUUCAGGAUAACUUUGCAAGCUAUGACUCUAGGGGAUGUAAAUUUUAUUCUGCAAGUUCAAUUCAUGCUAACAGUGGUACCUUCGACAACAAACCCGUCUUUUGGUUCCAUCUUUGAGACCCUUUUUCCUCUCAACACUAUUUGAAGAGGGUGAAAGGAGAGGGAAAGGGAAGGACAGAAAAAAAAAGUGAGGGUGAAAGAGAGAAGGAACUUUUUGUUAUGGUAAGGUUGGAGGGAAUGGAAGAAAUGCAGAGGUUUAUAUGGAGGAAAAAAAAGGAAAGAUGAGUGCAUAAGGCGGCCAGUGGGCUUUCCCAAUGGACCUGAUUGGGACAGGUCCAAGGCCCAGAAAGAUCUAAACGGACCUAUGACGUCAUUAGGGCCCAGUAUAAAGGAAAAGGGCGUUGCUCCCUCCACCCCCACAUGCUUCUCCCUCCACCUCCCCAAUUUUAUAUAAUUCCAAUUAUGUCCUAAAGUUAAAUUUUUUUACUUUUUUUAUUUUAAUAUUUUAAUUAAUUUAAAUUUACUUUUUUCUAUUUACUGCCUACACCUACCAACCUUUCAUUUCCAUCUCUCACUUCUCACUUCCGUAACCUCUCUCUCACUUCCGUAACCUCUCUCUCACUUCUCACUUCCGUCUCCAACUUCUUAAUUUUCUUUCUCCAUUUCUUUCUCCACUUCUUCUUUGUUUUUCGUUUUUGUAGAAGACCGUUUGGUGUGGAGCAAGACUGGUGCGGAGGAAUAGCGUGUGCGGAGGAACAGCGUGGAGGAGCGAGAUCUGCGUCCAGUGUUUGUGUCUGAGUUUAAAUCCGUACUGAAGGAGGACAAAAGGGUCUUCAGGUUUUCUGUGGGCCAUGUAGGUGGCUGAAGUUGUGUCCCAGUGUUGGUCGCAUGCUUUCCCCAAAGUACCAAUUUUCUGAGUGCAACUGCAAACUUACCAUAGGAGAUUGCUCUCUUACAACCUUUUAAAUAUUUCAUAUUUGUUUAAUCACAAAUCUCAGUUCAUCUUCAAAUUUCCAGCUCAAUUUUACUUUUCAAAAUUUUUACUUUUAAUAUAACCCAUUUAAGAAAUAAUACAUCACCGA
rnacentral:sRNA from 1 species